AACGAACGCUGGCGGCAUGCCUAACACAUGCAAGUCGAACGAGACCUUCGGGUCUAGUGGCGCACGGGUGCGUAACGCGUGGGAACCUGCCCUUAGGUUCGGAAUAACUCCCCGAAAGGGGUGCUAAUACCGGAUAAUGUCUUCGGACCAAAGAUUUAUCGCCUUUGGAUGGGCCCGCGUUGGAUUAGCUAGUUGGUAGGGUAAAAGCCUACCAAGGCGACGAUCCAUAGCUGGUCUGAGAGGAUGAUCAGCCACACUGGGACUGAGACACGGCCCAGACUCCUACGGGAGGCAGAAGUGGGGAAUAUUGGACAAGGGGCGAAAGCCUGAUCCAGCAAUGCCGCGUGAGUGAUGAAGGCCUUAGGGUUGUAAAGCUCUUUUACCCGGGAUGAUAAUGACAGUACCGGGAGAAUAAGCUCCGGCUAACUCCG
rnacentral:rRNA from 1 species